rnacentral:rRNA from 1 species
AGUGAACGCUGGCGGUAGGCCUAACACAUGCAAGUCGAACGGCAGCACAGUAAGAGCUUGCUCUUACGGGUGGCGAGUGGCGGACGGGUGAGGAAUACAUCGGAAUCUACUUUUUCGUGGGGGAUAACGUAGGGAAACUUACGCUAAUACCGCAUACGACCUACGGGUGAAAGCAGGGGAUCUUCGGACCUUGCGCGAUUGAAUGAGCCGAUGUCGGAUUAGCUAGUUGGCGGGGUAAAGGCCCACCAAGGCGACGCUCCGUAGCUGGUCUGAGAGGAUGAUCAGCAACACUGGAACUGAGACACGGUCCAGACUCCUACGGGAGGCAGCAGUGGGGAAUAUUGGACAAUGGGCGCAAGCCUGAUCCAGCCAUACCGCGUGGGUGAAGAAGGCCUUCGGGUUGUAAAGCCCUUUUGUUGGGAAAGAAAAGCAGCAGGUUAAUACCCCGCUGUUCUGACGGUACCCAAAGAAUAAGCACCGGCUAACUUCGU